CAGUAGCCGCGGUAAUACGUAGGUCCCGAGCGUUGUCCGGAUUUAUUGGGCGUAAAGCGAGCGCAGGCGGUUAGGUAAGUCUGAAGUUAAAGGCUGUGGCUUAACCAUAGUACGCUUUGGAAACUGUUUAACUUGAGUGCAAGAGGGGAGAGUGGAAUUCCAUGUGUAGCGGUGAAAUGCGUAGAUAUAUGGAGGAACACCGGUGGCGAAAGCGGCUCUCUGGCUUGUAACUGACGCUGAGGCUCGAAAGCGUGGGGAGCAAACAGGAUUAGAUACCCGAGUAGUCCCUGUAUCUUAUACA
rnacentral:rRNA from 1 species